GUGCCAGCAGCCGCGGUAAUACGUAGGUGGCAAGCGUUGUCCGGAUUUAUUGGGCGUAAAGCGAGCGCAGGCGGUUUCUUAAGUCUGAUGUGAAAGCCUUCGGCUCAACCGAAAGAAGUGCAUCGGAAACUGGGAAACUUGAGUGCAGAAGAGGACAGUGGAACUCCAUGUGUAGCGGUGAAAUGCGUAGAUAUAUGGAAGAACACCAGUGGCGAAGGCGGCUGUCUGGUCUGUAACUGACGCUGAGGCUCGAAAGCAUGGGUAGCAAACAGGAUUAGAUACCCUGGUAGUCCAUGCCGUAAACGAUGAGUGCUAGGUGUUGGAGGGUUUCCGCCCUUCAGUGCCGCAGCUAACGCAUUAAGCACUCCGCCUGGGGAGUACGACCGCAAGGUUGAAACUCAAAGGAAUUGACGGGGGCCCGCACAAGCGGUGGAGCAUGUGGUUUAAUUCGAAGCAACGCGAAGAACCUUACCAGGUCUUGACAUCCUUUGACCACUCUAGAGAUAGAGCUUUCCCUUCGGGGACAAAGUGACAGGUGGUGCAUGGUUGUCGUCAGCUCGUGUCGUGAGAUGUUGGGUUAAGUCCCGCAACGAGCGCAACCCUUAUUACUAGUUGCCAGCAUUAAGUUGGGCACUCUAGUGAGACUGCCGGUGACAAACCGGAGGAAGGUGGGGACGACGUCAAAUCAUCAUGCCCCUUAUGACCUGGGCUACACACGUGCUACAAUGGAUGGUACAACGAGUUGCGAGACCGCGAGGUUUAGCUAAUCUCUUAAAACCAUUCUCAGUUCGGAUUGUAGGCUGCAACUCGCCUACAUGAAGCCGGAAUCGCUAGUAAUCGCGGAUCAGCAUGCCGCGGUGAAUACGUUCCCGGGCCUUGUACACACCGCCCGU
rnacentral:rRNA from 1 species